CGGCCGCGUCGACGGGCAACCCUGACCGAGCAACGCCGCGUGAGUGAAGAAGGUUUUCGGAUCGUAAAGCUCUGUUGUAAGUCAAGAACGGGUGUGAGAGUGGAAAGUUCACACUGUGACGGUAGCUUACCAGAAAGGGACGGCUAACUACGUGCCAGCAGCCGCGGUAAUACGUAGGUCCCGAGCGUUGUCCGGAUUUAUUGGGCGUAAAGCGAGCGCAGGCGGUUUGAUAAGUCUGAAGUUAAAGGCUGUGGCUCAACCAUAGUUCGCUUUGGAAACUGUCAAACUUGAGUGCAGAAGGGGAGAGUGGAAUUCCAUGUGUAGCGGUGAAAUGCGUAGAUAUAUGGAGGAACACCGGUGGCGAAAGCGGCUCUCUGGUCUGUAACUGACGCUGAGGCUCGAAAGCGUGGGGAGCGAACAGGAUUAGAUACCCUGGUAGUCCACGCCGUAAACGAUGAGU
rnacentral:rRNA from 1 species